rnacentral:rRNA from 1 species
UACGUAGGGGGCAAGCGUUGUCCGGAAUCAUUGGGCGUAAAGCGCGUGUAGGCGGUUCUGUAAGUCUGCUGUGAAAGUCCAGGGCUCAACCCUGGGAUGCCGGUGGAUACUGCAGGGCUAGAGUACGGAAGAGGCGAGUGGAAUUCCCGGUGUAGCGGUGAAAUGCGCAGAUAUCAGGAGGAACACCGGUGGCGAAGGCGGGUCUCUGGGCCGAAAAUUGACGCUGAGGAGCGAAAGCGUGGGGAGCAAACAGG